AACGAACGCUGGCGGCAUGCCUAACACAUGCAAGUCGAACGAGACCUUCGGGUCUAGUGGCGCACGGGUGCGUAACGCGUGGGAACCUGCCCUUAGGUUCGGAAUAACUCAGAGAAAUUUGAGCUAAUACCGGAUAAUGUCUUCGGACCAAAGAUUUAUCGCCUUUGGAUGGGCCCGCGUAGGAUUAGCUUGUUGGUGGGGUAAUGGCCUACCAAGGCGACGAUCCUUAGCUGGUCUGAGAGGAUGAUCAGCCACACUGGGACUGAGACACGGCCCAGACUGAGAGGGGAGGUAGCGGUGGAGACUGUGUAAAGAGGGGAGAAAGACUGAUCCAUAGAUGUGGGGUGAGUGAAGAGGGGGUUAUGGUAGAACAACGUUGUAACGAGGAAAAAUAAGGAGAGUACUUGAAGAAUAACCACCGGCUAACUCCGUGAGAGCAGCCGCGAUAAUAAGCGGAAGCGAACACGAAGGAAC
rnacentral:rRNA from 1 species